rnacentral:rRNA from 1 species
GUCUACAGCCAUGCCACCCUGAAUGCAUCCGAUCUCAUCUGAUCUUGGAAGCUAAACAGGGUCGGGCCAGGUUAGUACUUAGAUGAGAGACCACUUAGGAAUACUAGGUGCUGUAGGCA